CUUGUGGUUGAUUAGACUUCAGGUCAGAUUGAUGUUCAGUGGAGCCCUAACAGACAAAAUAUCUGCCAAUAACGACAGGGGUUCAGCCGACUGUCCUUCACCGCUGUCAUCACCCUUCAUGGACUCCGCACACAUCGAGGACACACAACUGCACACAUAUCGGUUCACCUUAAUUCUUUUCAACGCAUUACAGAGGGAGUAAUAGCUCAAUGUCAGAGCGCCUUGAUGGCUAUGAAUGAUGAUGGUGGUGGUUCACCUCCAUCUACUGUGUCAUGCGUUCUUCCAGGAUGUAUUUCUGAUAGCUCAAUCUGAACUGAGCAUGAAACUAUGCUUUCUUCCUACUAUCACAAUCACUCUGCCACCUUAAGAAUUUUAUUCAAAUGUCAAGAACCUUCACUUGUGAUUUAUUAAAAGUCAUGUAGUUAAA